UAGUUGAAAAAAAAUGAGGGCAAGGUCAUCUAAAGGUCACUUAUUUUGCUUUGUUUGUUGCUUAUUUUGCAGACCUGACAGAUAUACAGAUAUUUUCUAUAAUUGGGGGUGUUGGCGGGGCCAUAAUUCUCAUAGGCGUAUUUAUCCUGGUGGAACGUUGCUGCCAUUUCCGUAAAGAAAGGGCAUACAGAAAGUCCACUCAAAGCCUCACUAGCCACAAGGAUCAACCAAGAGACAACAGCAAAGUAUACUACGACAACAAUGGUUUCGACGGCAAUGGCUACACUCACGACGCCCCUGUGCAGGAUGAUAACCAUAUUGAGGAAAAGCAAUAACAAAACUGACACCUUAAAAACGGUUGAAGUUAGUGUCACUCAAGGUCAAUAACGUUUUGAUACAAUUUUCAAGGAAAGAAGUAUUCAGUUUUUCCAAGUUUUACAUUGUAUAGAACUUCCCACUGCCAUCUACUUCCCUGCUGCAGACACCAUUCAAGGGGAAGACCAUAGGUUAACAUUGUUAUUGUGUUACGCACAAGUUACUUUAAAUUGAAAAGUUACAGAUUAAAAAUAUGAAUACUUCCAAUUUUCUUUUAAAAAAGAUAUUUCAUGAAGCUUGGAUCAGUUAACUUAAAGAUAAGUGUUUUUUGUCAACUCUCAGGCAAUUAAACUUGUACUUUGUUUGUGAAGAGUUAUGGUAAUAGCUAGGAGUUACUUGCAUAUCAAAAGCAAGUGAAAAAUGUACUUGUUCUGUUAAGGACUUAAAAAAUGAUCCCCUGUUACACAGUCCUUUGUUACCAAGUGCCAUGUCUGAUAUAUACAUAUAUAUAUUAUGCAAUUUUUUCAAUUGGCUUACAGUUUUGAAGUCAUGAUGUAUCAUAUUAGAAUGUAAUAUAAGUAGUUGUUCUGGGGCCAAGUUCUAUACAAGAGCUAAAAGCGGAAGUUUGUCCUAUAAAUUUAAGAUUUUGGUCUAUUUCAAUCCAGGGACAAAAUAGACAAGUAUAUUUUGGUCUUAGAGUACUGACCAGUGUUGAACUGUUCCUUUGUAACACUGAACACUGAAUUCUAUUGUGAAUGAUAAAAGUGUAUUGUGAUAUGGGGAGAAUAAUUAAUAUCUGUCUGACAUGGCCGUCUGUAUAAUUCUGGCAGCUGUACAUACAUAUAUAUCCAGGAUACAACUUUAAGCUUGUUUCAUAUUUAUGCCAUUUAUAUAUAAAAAAUGAAUCCAUUGGAUUUAAUAUAUUGACUUUUUGAAAGGUCGCACUUAUGACUGAAGACAUUUUUGAAAAAGAAUUAAAAGAGAUUAAGAGUAACAUUUCCCAAGAGAUAAAGAAUUACGUCUUGUGCUUUGCAAUAACAGUGAUACACUUAGUGAAUCUCAGUAGAUAAAAUCUAAAAAGAACAUCUAGACUUGGAGGUAAAAUACAUAGGUAUGAAGCAAUAAUAGAUAGUAUGGAUCUUUUUUGUCUGUCAUAUCUGUGUAUGUAUAUAUGUAUAACUGAUCACGUUUUUGAAGCAUAUUACUAUUAAAAAGAUAUGGUGACGGACUAAAAAAUGGGCAAUAAUUAUGCUACUUGUCAGAAUUGCUUGUUACUUUACGCAAUAUUUGACUCUUUAAUAAAAAAGUUAUUAUUAUA
rnacentral:lncRNA from 1 species